GGCGGCGUGCCUAACACAUGCAAGUCGAACGAGGUAGCAAUACCUAGUGGCAGACGGGUGAGUAACGCGUGGUCAACCUACCCUUGAGUGGGGGAUAACUAACCGAAAGGUUAGCUAAUACCGCAUACGUUGCCGGGGGGCAUCCCCUGGUUAUAAAAAGAGCAAUUUGCUCGAGGACGGGACCGCGUCCCAUUAGCUUGUUGGUGGGGUAAUGGCCUACCAAGGCUCCGAUGGGUAGCUGGUUUGAGAGAGCGACCAGCCACACUGGGACUGAGAAACGGCCCAGACUCCUACGGGAGGCAGCAGUGAGGAAUUUUCCGCAAUGGGCGAAAGCCUGACGGAGCGACGCCGCGUGUGGGAAGAAGGCCUUCGGGUCGUAAACCACUGUCGAAGGGGACGAUAAUGACGGUACCCUUGGAGGAAGCCCCGGCUAACUACGUGCCA
rnacentral:rRNA from 1 species